GAAGAAGCAAAAUAAUCUACGGAGGAGA
rnacentral:sRNA from 1 species